GAUGAAGAACGCAGCGAAAUGCGAUACGUAAUGUGAAUUGCAGAAUUCAGUGAAUCAUCGAAUCUUUGAACGCACAUUGCGCCCGCCAGUAUUCUGGCGGGCAUGCCUGUUCGAGCGUCAUUUCAACCAUCAAGCCCCCGGCUUGUGUUGGGGACCUGCGGCUGCCGCAGGCCCUGAAAACCAGUGGCGGGCUCGCUAGUCACUCCGAGCGUAGUAGUUACAUCUCGCUCAGGGCGUGCUGCGGGUUCCGGCCGUUAAAAGCCUUAUUUACCCAAGGUUGACCUCGGAUCAGGUAGGAAGACCCGCUGAACUUAAGCAUAUCAUAAGCGGAGGA
rnacentral:misc_RNA from 1 species